CAAAUCAUAAACCCUCCUCCCCCAAAAACUCACUCAAAACUCAAGGAAGAAGAUGAAGAUGGAGUUGGGGCUAGGGUUUCAAUUCAUGGAGGUUUCUUCUUCAAAUUUCUUGGGUAUUCUUAAUAAAAAGGUAUGGGAGUUAUUCAUCUAAGGUCAUUUAUCACCUUAGAGCCAAUUUCAAAGUGAGUAGCUUUGAAAGUUAAUGAAAAAGUCCACUUUUCACUCAAACCCAACGGUUCUUGAAUGGAAUGAUUUCAAAUGAUUAUAUAUGCUAUAUUGAUGUUUAAAUUUUGUUUUUAAGAUGAAAAAUCCAUGAACCAAUUAUUUUCCCUAAAUUCCUAAAUUUGACAUAUGAAGUGGGUUUUAUAUUAAAGUUUGGAUAUUGAUGAAACUGAGUUUAGAUUUGAUUGUAUUAUUGAUUCUUAUUGUUAUAUACAUCUAUUGAUGAUAAAUUGUUAGUAUAUGGAUGAGUUUGGAGUUAUGGCCUUGGGAUGUACCAAAGGACGAAGGAGAUAAGUACCAGGGGGGCACAAAGAAAAGUUGAACAAAUUCGAUGAGAAUCUAAUUAGUUAUCAUCAAGAUUAUGUGGGUGUCUGAUGAUUUGGCUUGAAGUUUUGUUUCUAUGUUUAAUGUUGAUGAUUUUAAUUUUUCUCUGUGCAAUUCGGAAUGUUGGGAUGUAUGUAUGUUCCUAUUGACCUUCGUCAUCCUUAUGCAUGACAUAUGGUUGUGCAUAUGAGAAUUUGGGACUUUUACACUAUGUUUGGAUCAUUGUUAUCCAUUGUAUUGUAUUGUAUUGUUGUUAUACCUACAAUGUUUAUUUUGAUUGUUACUUAAAUAUAUUUUACUAGAUUAUUAAAUUUCGUUGUUACGUAAUAAUGAAAAUCCCUAUUUUAUUGAAC
rnacentral:lncRNA from 1 species